GUAUAAAUAUAUUCAUGUAAUUUAAUAUAUGGUAAUUGUCAGACUUCUUCCUGCAGAUAUGGAUAUAAAAUAUCAAAAUAUGAAUCUUUCGGACGUAGCUGAAAUCUGAAUAUGAUAUUACAGAAUACGUGGAAAUGAGAUUUUUGGUUUCUCAUCAGCAAUCCAACAGACGCAACUGAAUGGAAUAACAUGAAAGACUAACCCGAUCUUCCCAUCCUUGAAAGAAUUUGCUUUGUAUGCUGCUGAUUUGAGAAGAAAUAAUUAUGAACCAAGGUUUAUCAAGAUUCUACUGAAACAAGCAUGGUCGUUGAUAAGUGAUAAUGAAAUAAAAAGCUGGUCAUCUCAUACUGGAAUGCCUAUUCUACACCCAUCUUAACCUACCAGAAUUUGCUCGUGUAAAAGACAUUGUUAAAUAUAAAAAAUCAAAUGAAAGUUUCACUUCAGCCUAAUAUCAUUAUUUUUGAAAAUUUGCAAUAAUGUAUAUUUGCAAUAUUUGUGUUACUAGAUAACUUAAUUUUGGUUUUUUAAGUAUUAUUCUGAUACGAAUUUAUAAUACAAUUACUGCUUAAAAAAAAUUAGAUUCUGUAUCUUCUUGUCUUUUAAAUGAUUUUACAACUGAACGGACACAAAACCACAGGGAAACACUCUGUUUCUGUGUACUUUGCUUCAGUUUCAUGUUGCUAUAUAUUUUUAAUGAUUAACGUUUCCACAGACUGCUGUGUUUUUCUGUUGGAUUUUGAAGAUAAUUGUUUUUGAUUACAUACACCGUUACACGUAGUAGGUAAAAUAUACACAUUAUGAUGGGACAAUGCAUGAUCUGCACCUUAACAGCUUUCAACUCCUGGUUCUAAUUUUUUUUUAAAUCAUGGAUUGAGAUGCAGUUACUAGAAAUGGUGGCAAUUUAAAGAUUUAGGAUUUUUUUUGUCAGUUUCAAGCAGAAUCUUUUCACACACAAAUGUAUUUCUUAGCCAUUCACACUGGAUUACGGAGUUCUUAUUUUGAGAGACCAGGUUGCAACUAUCUAAAUGAAUGAAUUGCUAUUGGUAGAAUUAAUGGGCCAAUUUACCAUAAAAUAAAUCUCUUUUCAUAUUUUAAUUGAUGGAUGACG